AGGAGCGUAGUUCAACGGAUAGAGCAGCGGUCUUCGAAACCGAAGGUUACAGGUUCGAGCCCUGUCGCUCCUGCCA
rnacentral:tRNA from 1 species